UGGCUCUGGCAUCGAUGAAGAACGCAGCGAAAUGCGAUACGUAAUGCGAAUUGCAGAAUUUAGCGAGUCAUCGAAUCUUUGAACGCACAUUGCGCCUGCCAGUAUUCUGGCAGGCAUGCCUGUCCGAGCGUCAUUUCACCGCUCAGGCGGCCUUCGGGCUGCCCGGUGUUGGGGCCCCUGUCGGCACCCCCCGAACAGGCCCCGAAAAUCAUCGGCGGGGCACGCCGAGCUCCCUAGCGCAGCAGUACGUCUCCUCGCUCAGGGCGGCCCGGCGGCGCUCUAGGCCGUCGACAGACCAUCAGAGAGUUUGACCUCGGAUCAGACAGGACUACCCGCUGA
rnacentral:misc_RNA from 1 species